ACGUAGGUGGCAAGCGUUGUCCGGAUUUACUGGGCGUAAAGAGCGCGCAGGCGGCCGAGUCAGUCGAAUGUGAAAGCCCCCGGCUCAACUGGGGAGGGUCAUUCGAUACUGCUCGGCUUGAAGAUGGGAGAGGGAAGCGGAAUUUCAGGUGUAGUGGUGAAAUGCGUAGAUAUCUGAAGGAACACCAGUGGCGAAGGCGGCUUUCUGGCCCAUUCUUGACGCUGAGGCGCGAAAGCUAGGGGAGCAAACGGGAUUAGAUACCCCGGUAGUCCUAGCCGUAAACGAUGAACACUAGAUGUUGGUGGUAUCAACCCCGCCAGUGUCGUAGCUAACGCAUUAAGUGUUCCGCCUGGGGAGUACGGCCGCAAGGCUA
rnacentral:rRNA from 1 species